UCCAUUCUCCUAACACCACAUUCUACAUAUUUAAUAAAUUCAAACACAGAACGACAAGAAGUUCUGCCGUUUGAAUUUAGGAAAGAAGGACCAGAAUCAAAGGAGGGAGAAUUAGUGUUAGCAGAAUUAAUGAAAAUUUUAAACGAGGAAGAAAAGGGAACAUGAGUGGUGGAAAAAUUAAAAUCUAUCUUCGACAAUGCAUCCUUGUGAGAAGUGCAAACAUCGCUCUAAAUAAUUGAUUGGCAACAUAAGAACAAUGGGAUCUUUCGAAAUACUAUGCGGUAUUGCGGCUAUAUGUCUCGAAGAAAUAUCGUUUUUAAUAACGUGGAUAUAACCUGAUUAAUUUUAAGUUUUAAUUAUAUG